GCCUGGGUGGCUCAGUCGGUUGAGCGACCAACUUUGGCUCAGGUCAUGAUCUCACAACUUGUGGGUUCAAGCCCUGCUUCAGGCU
rfam:Felis catus isolate Cinnamon breed Abyssinian chromosome B3, whole genome shotgun sequence.